AAUAAAGUGCCUGAAUAAAGGAUUAUUUUGAUAGAAUAAAUCAUAUAACUUAAGUUAUCUUUAUUA
rnacentral:tRNA from 1 species